rnacentral:misc_RNA from 1 species
GAUGAAGAACGUAGCGAAAUGCGGUAAGUAGUGUGAAUUGCAGAAUUCAGUGAAUCAUCGAAUCUUUGAACGCACAUUGCGCCCUUUGGUAUUCCAAAGGGCAUGCCUGUUCGAGCGUCAUUUGUACCCUCAAGCUUUGCUUGGUGUUGAGCGUCUUGUCUCUAGCUUUGCUGGAGACUCGCCUUAAAGUAAUUGGCAGCCGGCCUACUGGUUUCGGAGCGCAGCACAAGUCGCACUCUCUAUCAGCAAAGGUCUAGCAUCCAUUAAGCCUUUUUUUUCAACUUUUGACCUCGGAUCAGGUAGGGAUACCCGCUGAACUUAAGCAUAUCAAUAAGCGGAGGA